CUUUUGAUUAAAUCUGCUAAUCAUGUCAUCUAAGAGCUGUCAAAAACAGAAACAGAAAAAUGGAGGAAAAAAGAACAGAAGAAAUCAAACAAAACUGCUUUUUCCAUUACUGUCCUAACAUUCUUCAAAUACUUAAUCUCCCAACUGAAGGGGGGAGCAUGUGCACACAUGCUCUGUGACCUGCGUGUGGUUGGGCUCCAUCCCAGCCCCCAUCACUCCGCUGUGGGAGAGCAGAAAAACAAGUGAGUGGUGCUGCUGCAGUUCCCAGGACCCCUGGCAAUAUGGGUGGUUCACUGCUUUGCUACGGACGGAAGGAGAUGAGUCAACUGUGAAGUUCAUUAACUUCCAAAGAGGAGCAGCUGCACUGAGAUAAAGUGAGAACUGGGGGGGUUGAUGAAAAAGAGAACCACAGCAGCGGAUAAAAGGAUGCUCACUCAUUGAAGGCAGCAAGUACCAAGAGGAGACGCUAUAAACUGGAGGGUAUUCGCACCAUUCUGUCACUAAUAAACUAGCCCAGCAUUGUAACAAUCCCCCUCCUCCCUGGAUAAAAACAGUUGUCUGUUCCCAACAAGGGGCCAAACCCAACAACUUUGACAGCAACUCGGAUUCAGCAGCAUUCAUUACCCAACUUCAAAGCGGCAACAUCUCUACGGGACAUGCUAUGCUAACUGCGUUCUGGAGCACGCCCCCCCCCCAUCUCAAGUAGGACAGAGUCACAGCACAGCCCGGUGUGUUAAAGAUUAAUGAAGAUAUUGCAAAGAGCAAACCAUCUUACAAAACAUGCUUAAACGAAUUGAAAUAUUUAGGAGCGGCAAUCUGUAAGGGUUAGUGUGUUUGACUUGAGGGCCCUGGAGAGGCCUUCAGGGAGGGGGAGGUCAUAUCGUAUCUAUGAUGAAUAGGGUGAGUGAUGCUUUGACGGCAG